rnacentral:rRNA from 1 species
GAUGAACGCUGGCGGCGUGCUUAACACAUGCAAGUCGAACGGUGAAGCAGGAGCUUGCUCUUGUGGAUCAGUGGCGAACGGGUGAGUAACACGUGAGCAACCUGCCCCUGACUCUGGGAUAAGCGCUGGAAACGGCGUCUAAUACUGGAUAUGUGAUGUGACCGCAUGGUCUGCAUCUGGAAAGAAUUUCGGUUGGGGAUGGGCUCGCGGCCUAUCAGCUUGUUGGUGAGGUAAUGGCUCACCAAGGCGUCGACGGGUAGCCGGCCUGAGAGGGGGACCGGCCACACUGGGACUGAGACACGGGACAGACUCCUACGGGAGGCAGCAGUGGGGAAUAUUGCACAAUGGGCGGAAGCCUGAUGCAGCAACGCCGCGUGAGGGAUGACGGCCUUCGGGUUGUAAACCUCUUUUAGCAGGGAAGAAGCGAAAGUGACGGUACCUGCAGAAAAAGCACCGGCUAACUACGUGCCAGCAGCCGCGGUAA